AUGGACAUUUACAGGAGUGAGGAGCUGUUUUGGCAACGUCGAGGGGGGCAGAACUGGCUCCUUAAGGGGGAUGCUAAUACGGCUUACUUUCAGGCGAUUGCUAACGGCCGCAGGCGGAAAUGUGCCAUCCCGUUCCUCUGGGAUGGGGGUGUUCUUUUGGAGAACCCAGAGGACAUCUCCACCCAUAUCUACUCAUUUUAUAAGGAGCUUUUCUCGGUUGAACCACGCGGAGGCGUCUCCCUCCGCGCUGGCUUCUGGCCGCUUGCUGACCAGGUCUCUGAUGCAGAGAAUGUGGACCUUACUCUCCCAUUCUCCCCUGAGGAGGUGGGUCGGGUGAUUGCGUCGAUGAAAGCUUGCUAG
rnacentral:rRNA from 1 species